AUUGGACGCUGGCGGAAUGCUUUACACAUGCAAGUCGAACGGCAGCACGGACUUCGGUCUGGUGGCGAGUGGCGAACGGGUGCGUAAUGUAUCGGAACGUGCCCAGUCGUGGGGGAUAACGUAGUGAAAAUUACGCUAAUACCGCAUACGAUCUAUGGAUGAAAGCGGGGGAUCGCAAGACCUCGCGCGAUUGGAGCGGCCGAUAUCAGAUUAGGUAGUUGGUGGGGUAAAGGCCCACCAAGCCAACGAUCUGUAGCUGGUCUGAGAGGACGACCAGCCACACUGGAACUGAGACACGGUCCAGACUCCUACGGGAGGCAGCAGUGGGGAAUUUUGGACAAUGGGCGAAAGCCUGAUCCAGCCAUUCCGCGUGCAGGAUGAAGGCCCUCGGGUUGUAAACUGCUUUUGUACAGAACGAAAAGGUUUCUACUAAUACUAGGAGCUCAUGACGGUACUGUAAGAAUAAGCACCGGCUAACUACGUGCCAGCCGCCGCAGUAA
rnacentral:rRNA from 1 species